GACGAACGCUGGCGGCGUGCUUAACACAUGCAAGUCGAACGGUGAAGUAGAGCUUGCUCUAUGGAUCAGUGGCGAACGGGUGAGUAACACGUGGGCAACCUGCCCCAGACUCUGGGGUAACUCCUCGAAAGAGGGGCUAAUACCGGAUAUUUGCAUUGCAAGACAUCUUGUGAUGCAGAAAGAAUUUCGGUCUGGGAUGGGCCCGCGGCCUAUCAGCUUGUUGGUGAGGUAACGGCCCACCAAGGCGACGACGGGUAGCCGGCCUGAGAGGGCGACCGGCCACACUGGGACUGGGACACGGCCCAGACUCCUACGGGAGGCAGCAGUGGGGAAUAUUGGGCAAUGGGCGCAAGCCUGACCCAGCAACGCCGCGUGAGGGAUGAAGGUCCUCGGAUUGUAAACCUCUUUCAGCAGGGACGAAGCGAAAGUGACGGUACCUGCAGAAGAAGCACCGGCUAACUACGUGCCAGCCGCCGCCGUAA
rnacentral:rRNA from 1 species